rnacentral:misc_RNA from 1 species
UCUCUUGUACCAGAGCAUCC